CCAUGGCGUGCAGAGGUAAGAUUCUUCUUCGCUUUUCUCUUUUAUUUCGCAAAUAAAAAAAUAAACAAAGAAUAAAGGAAAUCGGAGAAUCACCUCUAAAAAAACUGCUAUUGGUUUUUUUCUAUUCCUAGGAAUACUUUUUUGUUUUUGUAUUCAAUAUCCGUGCCUGUAAAAAAAGAUACAUAGGGCUUUUUCUGAUCUUAUAUCCCCCGCCUUCAAAAAUGAAAAAAAAAUAAAGGAAAAAUAC
rnacentral:lncRNA from 1 species